AGGACGAACGCUUGCGACGUGCCUAAGAAAUGCAAGUCGAACGGAUCAUCAGCAAUGGUGGUUAGUGGCGAACGGUCGCGUAACACGUGGGCAACCUGCCCUGAAGCGGGGGACAACAGCUUGAAAGAGCUGCUAAUACCGCAUGUGGAUCGCCCUGGCAUCAGGGAAUAUCCAAAGGCUUUCAGCAAUGAGGGUCACUUCAGGAUGGGCCCGCGGCCUAUCAGCUAGUUGGGGGGGUAACGGCUCACCAAGGCUUCGACGGGUAGCUGGUCUGAGAGGACGAUCAGCCGGAUUGGGACUGAGAUACGGCCCAGACUCCUACGGGGGGCAGGCAAUUAGGAAUCUUGCACAAUGGGCGAAAGCCUGAUGCAGCGACGUCGCGUGGGGGACGAAAUCUUUCGGGAUGUAAACCCCUUUUACCAGGGAAGAAUAAAAUGACGGUACCUGGUGAAUAAGCCCGGCUAACUACGCGCCAGCAGCCGCGGU
rnacentral:rRNA from 1 species